rnacentral:rRNA from 1 species
GAUGAACGCUAGCGGCAGGCUUAAUACAUGCAAGUCGUGGGGCAGCAGGACGGUAGCAAUACCGUUGCUGGCGACCGGCAAACGGGUGCGGAACACGUACACAACCUUCCCUUAAGUGGGGAAUAGCCCAGAGAAAUUUGGAUUAAUACCCCGUUACAUGGUGAAAAGGCAUCUUUUUAUCAUUAUAGCAGCAAUGCGCUUAAGGAUGGGUGUGCGGCUGAUUAGGUAGUUGGCGGGGUAACGGCGCACCAAGCCUUCGAUCAGUAACUGGUGUGAGAGCACGACCAGUCACACGGGCACUGAGACACGGGCCCGACUCCUACGGGAGGCAGCAGUAAGGAAUAUUGGGCAAUGGAGGCAACUCUGACCCAGCCAUGCCGCGUGGAGGAUGAAGGUCCUCUGGAUUGUAAACUUCUUUUAUAUGGGACGAAAAAAGGGUUUUCUAACUCGACUGACGGUACCAUAUGAAUAAGCACCGGCUAACUCCGUGCCAGCCGCCGCAGUAAUAC